rnacentral:rRNA from 1 species
AUAUCAGUCAUGCAUAGCAUAUCAAUAAGCGGAGGAAAAGAAACUAACAAGGAUUCCCUUAGUAACGGCGAGUGAAGCGGGAAGAGCUCAAAUUUGAAAUCUUCAAGGUUUUACCUUGACGAAUUGUAGUUUAAAGAAGUGUUUUCUGUUGAAGUUUUGGUAAAAGUUCUUUGGAAUAGGACAUCAUAGAGGGUGAGAAUCCCGUAUUUGACCAUUACUUUCAGCUUUGUGAUACACUUUCAAAGAGUCGGAUUGUUUGGGAAUGCAGUCCAAAAUGGGUGGUAAAUUUCAUCUAAAGCUAAAUAUUGGCGAGAGACCGAUAGCGAACAAGUACCGUGAGGGAAAGAUGAAAAGAACUUUGAAAAGAGAGUUAAACAGUACGUGAAAUUGUCAAAAGGGAAGCGUUUGACACCAGUGUUGUUUUCUCGAAAAUCAAUUAAAAAGAGUUGGAUUUUGUGUUGUAUUGACUUUAUCAGGCUUUCUUCACUCUUUUCCAGCUUUUCUUAAUGCACUUUUCGUUUAACAAGUCAACAUCAGUUUCUUUUGUUGUAAAAAGGUCAUUGGAAGGUGGCUUUCUCUUCGGAGAAAGUGUUUAUAGCCUUUGACUCAUGCAAUCGGAGAGACUGAGGUCUGCAGCGUAGAUCCUUCGGGGUUAGAUACAUUUGUGCUAAGUUAUAGCUUUUCAUAGACAACUUGUUGACUAUGUUUAGUCUUGUAGCUUACUCGCUUAUGCUAUUUUACCUACGCUUAGGAUGUUGAACUCUAUCACACACAG